rnacentral:rRNA from 1 species
UACGGGGGGAGCAAGCGUUGUUCGGAUUUACUGGGCGUAAAGGGCGCGUAGGCGGUCGUGACAAGUCACUUGUGAAAUCUCCGGGCUUAACCCAGAACGGUCAGCUGAUACUGCGGGGCUAGAGUGCAGAAGGGGCAACUGGAAUUCUCGGUGUAGCGGUGAAAUGCGUAGAUAUCGAGAGGAACACCUGCGGCGAAGGCGGGUUGCUGGGCUGACACUGACGCUGACAGCGCGAAAGCUAGGGGAGCGAACGGG